rnacentral:rRNA from 1 species
UACGUAGGGUGCGAGCGUUAAUCGGAAUUACUGGGCGUAAAGGGUGCGUAGGCGGUUGUUUAAGUUUGGUGUGAAAUCUCCCGGCUCAACUGGGAGGGUGCGCCGAAUACUGAAUGACUAGAGUGCGGGAGAGGAUAGUGGAAUUCCGAGUGUAGAGGUGAAAUUCGUAGAUAUUCGGAAGAACACCAGUGGCGAAGGCGACUUACUGGACACAUAUUGACGCUGAGGUGCGAAAGCGUGGGGAGCAAACAGG